rnacentral:rRNA from 1 species
GGAUCAUUAUCGAGUGAGGGGGCUCCGCGCCCUCGACCUCCCAACCCUUUGUUUAACCAACUCUGUUGCCUCGGGGGCGACCCGGCCGCGCGUCGGGCGCCCCCAGAGGACCAACCAACUCUGCAUCUUUGCGUCGGAGUAUUGAAAGCAAAUCAAUCAAAACUUUUAACAACGGAUCUCUUGGUUCUGGCAUCGAUGAAGAACGCAGCGAAAUGCGAUAAGUAAUGUGAAUUGCAGAAUUCAGUGAAUCAUCGAAUCUUUGAACGCACAUUGCGCCCUUUGGCAUUCCGAAGGGCAUGCCCGUUCGAGCGUCAAUAAGACCAAUCAAGCCUGGCUUGGUAUUGGGCGUCGGGCUAAUCACCCGCGCCUCUAUUCUCUCGGCUGGACGGUUAGAAUCUCAGCGUUGUGCAAUCAAUUCGCUGGAGAGGAUCGCCGGACGCGCCGUUAAAACUCUUCAAAGUCUGACCUC